UACGGAGGGUGCAAGCGUUAAUCGGAAUUACUGGGCGUAAAGGGCACGCAGGCGGUCUUUUAAGUGAGAUGUGAAAUCCCCGGGCUUAACCUGGGAGUAGCAUUUCAGACUGGGAGUCUAGAGUACUUUAGGGAGGGGUAGAAUUCCACGUGUAGCGGUGAAAUGCGUAGAGAUGUGGAGGAAUACCGAAGGCGAAGGCAGCCCCUUGGGAAUGUACUGACGGGCAUGUGCGAAAGCGUGGGGAGCAAACAGG
rnacentral:rRNA from 1 species